rnacentral:rRNA from 1 species
UGCAAGUCGAGGGGCAGCGGGAUUGAAGCUUGCUUCAAUCGCCGGCGACCGGCGCACGGGUGAGUAACGCGUAUCCAACCUUCCGUACACUCAGGGAUAGCCUUUCGAAAGAAAGAUUAAUAUCCGAUAGCAUAUAUUUCCCGCAUGGGUUUAUAUUAAAGAAAUUCGGUAUGAGAUGGGGAUGCGUUCCAUUAGUUUGUUGGCGGGGUAACGGCCCACCUAGUCUUCGAUGGAUAGGGGUUCUGAGAGGAAGGUCCCCACAUUGGAACUGAGACACGGUCCAAACUCC